UACAGAGGUCCCAAGCGUUGUUCGGAUUUACUGGGCGUAAAGGGUGCGUAGGCGGUUGGAUAAGUCUGAUGUGAAAUCUCUUGGCCUAACCAGGAAACUGCAUCGGAAACUGUCCGGCUAGAGGGUCGGAGGGGGGACUGGAAUUCCCGGUGUAGCAGUGAAAUGCGUAGAUAUCGGGAGGAACACCAGUGGCGAAGGCGAGUCCCUGGACGACCCCUGACGCUGAGGCACGAAAGCUAGGGGAGCAAACAGG
rnacentral:rRNA from 1 species